CUUCACUAACUUGACCGGUACCGGUAGGGUACGCGUCUUACCGCCAUUUUGUUUGAAAGAGUGAUUUUAAAAACGGAGGGCAACUAAUGUAAUGGUCUGGUGAUAAAACGCAUUAAAAUAUUAAUUGACCAUCCAAAAAGCAUCGUCCACGAUGUCACGCUAUGGUGACUGCAAAGUUUAUGUUGGAGAUUUGGGGAAUAAUGCUAGUAAACCUGAACUUGAAGAUGCCUUUUCAUAUUAUGGUCCACUGAGGAAUGUGUGGGUUGCAAGAAAUCCUCCAGGCUUCGCAUUUGUUGAAUUCGAAGAUCCACGGGAUGCUGAAGACGCAGUACGUGGUUUGGAUGGACGGACGAUUUGCGGUCGUAGAGCCCGUGUAGAAAUGUCUAAUGGGGGUCGCGGUUAUGGCAGCCGGGGUCCACCACCUCGUUCGCGUCUGCCUCCUCGGCCGUAUGAUGAUCGUUGUUACGACUGCGGCGACAGAGGACACUACGCUCGUGACUGUUCACGUCGUCGGCGACGCAGGUUAUCAUUGGGUUGUGCGCCGAGAACGAACUCGUCAGUGUCUGCACUUCUUAUUAUCUGCGCUACGUAGCUUUCACUUCUCUGCGUGUACUCCGAAUGAGUUGGCCCCAACUGUAACUUCGCUCUGUGAACUACGUAGCUACAUCCUACGUGCACACUUCACUUGUCGACAACUUCAUUGAGUUUGUUCAUACUGCGAGUAGCGACGCACGUCUAAUGUAAUCACUGCGUAUACUCAUCGUUCGAGGUCCCGCAGGCGUAGCCGAUCCCGCUCUCCAAGGUCUGGAUCUCGAUCCCGCAGCCGCUCUCGCUCACGCUCUCGUUCCCGUUCGAAGGCACGUUCUAUGUC